AGUGGGAAUAUUGCACAAUGGGCGAAAGCCUGAUGCAGCGACGCCGCGUGAGGGAUGAAGGCCUUCGGGUUGUAAACCUCUGUUGAUGGGAAAGAAGCUCUGACGGUACCCAUCGAGGAAGCCCCGGCUAACUCCGUGCCAGCAGCCGCGGUAAUACGGAGGGGGCAAGCGUUGUCCGGAUUUACUGGGCGUAAAGAGCGCGUAGGUGGUCCGCUCAGUCGGCUGUGAAAUCGCUGGGCCUAACCCAGCUGGGUCAGUCGAUACUGGUGGACUUGAGGCCGGGAGAGGGAAGCGGAAUUGCUGGUGUAGCGGUGGAAUGCGUAGAUAUCAGCAAGAACACCGGUGGCGAAGGCGGCUUCCUGGACCGGCCCUGACGCUGAGGCGCGAAAGCUAGGGGAGCGAACGGGAUUAGAUACCCCGGUAGUCC
rnacentral:rRNA from 1 species